rnacentral:tRNA from 1 species
GCGCAAGUGGUUUAGUGGUAAAAUCCAACGUUGCCAUCG